rnacentral:sRNA from 1 species
CUAUUGACUUAGACACUCUUUUUCUCUUUUCUCACUGCUCAUCUCUCUUCACUUCUUUUCUCUCACAAUUUUCUUCAGUGCUCUCUUCUCCUCUCUCUUCCUCAGACUUGUGCUGAGUCACAUGACUGAAAGAUGCCACAGAUAACACAGACUUUUCUUCACUUUUCUUUUUAUUUUUCUUUUCAGAAUACUCACUUUUUCUCUUUUCUUUUGUCUAUCUCAUCUGUCUUUCUUCUAUUGUUAGAAGUGCAGACAGUUCUCAGAUCAAUUAAAAGAGUUAUCUCUCUUCACUCACUAUAAAGUCUUUCAGACACAGCAGCAGUAGUCCUCUCAGAAAUCACACUAUAGCUUCAUCAUGAAUAGUCAUACAUC